CCCUUAGAUGUUCUGGGCCGCACGCGCGCUACACUGACGAAUGCAACGAGCUUAUAACCUUGGCCGAAAGGUCUGGGUAAUCUCCAAAUUUCGUCGUGAUGGGGAUAGAUUAUUGCAAUUAUUAAUCUUCAACGAGGAAUGCCUAGUAAGCGCAAGUCAUCAGCUUGCGUUGAUUACGUCCCUGCCCUUUGUACACACCGCCCGUCGCACCUACCGAUUGAAUGGUCCGGUGAAAUCCUCGGAUCGAGCCGUGGGGCAACUCCGGUUCGAGAAGUUGAUUAAACCUUACCAUUUAGAGGAAGGUGAAGUCGUAACA
rnacentral:rRNA from 1 species